rnacentral:rRNA from 1 species
UACAGAGGUCUCAAGCGUUGUUCGGAUUCAUUGGGCGUAAAGGGUGCGUAGGCGGCGUGGUAAGUCGGGUGUGAAAUCUCGGAGCUUAACUCCGAAACUGCAUUCGAUACUGCCGUGCUUGAGGACUGGAGAGGAGACUGGAAUUUACGGUGUAGCGGUGAAAUGCGUAGAUAUCGUAAGGAAGACCAGUGACGAAGGCGGGUCUCUGGACAGUUCCUGACGCUGAGGCACGAAGGCCAGGGGAGCAAACGGG